AUUGAACGCUGGCGGCAUGCUUUACACAUGCAAGUCGAACGGUAACAGGCCGCAAGGUGCUGACGAGUGGCGAACGGGUGCGUAAUGCAUCGGAACGUGCCCAGUCGUGGGGGAUAACUACUCGAAAGAGUAGCUAAUACCGCAUACGAUCUAUGGAUGAAAGCGGGGGACCGUAAGGCCUCGCGCGAUUGGAGCGGCCGAUGUCAGAUUAGGUAGUUGGUGGGGUAAAGGCUCACCAAGCCAACGAUCUGUAGCUGGUCUGAGAGGACGACCAGCCACACUGGGACUGAGACACGGCCCAGACUCCUACGGGAGGCAGCAGUGGGGAAUUUUGGACAAUGGGCGAAAGCCUGAUCGAGCAAUGCCGCGUGAAGGAAGAAGGUCUUCGGGUUGUAAAAUGCUGUUGUACGGAACGAAACGGCUCUGGUUAAUACCCGGGGGUAAUGACGGUACCGUAAGAAAAAGCACCGGCUAACUACGUG
rnacentral:rRNA from 1 species